CAGGAUGAACGCUAGCGACAGGCUUAACACAUGCAAGUCGAGGGGUAACAGGGUAGCAAUACCGCUGACGACCGGCGCACGGGUGAGUAACGCGUAUGCAACCUGCCUAUAACUGGGGAAUAGCUCCCUGAAAGGGGGAAUUAACACCGCAUAACACUAUUGAUUCGCAUGGAUUAGUAGUUAAAUGUAGCGAUACAGGUUAUAGAUGGGCAUGCGUGACAUUAGCUAGUUGGUGAGGUAACGGCUCACCAAGGCUACGAUGUCUAGGGGUUCUGAGAGGAAGGUCCCCCCACACUGGUACUGAGACACGGACCAGACUCCUACGGGAGGCAGCAGUGAGGAAUAUUGGUCAAUGGGCGCAAGCCUGAACCAGCCAUGUCGCGUGCAGGAAGAACCUGCCCUAUGGGUUGUAAACUGCUUUUAUAGUAGAAGAAACACAUCUACGUGUAGAUGUCUGCCAGUAUACUAUGAAUAAGCAUCGGCUAACUCCGUGCCAGCCGCCGC
rnacentral:rRNA from 1 species